rnacentral:rRNA from 1 species
GACGAACGCUGGCGGCGUGCCUAACACAUGCAAGUCGAGCGGAGAUGUACUGAAGAUUUAUCGGAUGUACAUCUUAGCGGCGGACGGGUGAGUAACGCGUGGGCAACCUGCCUUUCACUGGGGGAUAACACAGGGAAACCUGUGCUAAUACCGCAUGACAUCACGUAGGGCAUCCUAUGUGAUCAAAGGAGAGAUCCGGUGGAAGAUGGGCCCGCGUCCAAUUAGCUGGUUGGUGAGGUAAAGGCUCACCAAGGCGACGAUUGGUAGCCGAACUGAGAGGUUGAUCGGCCACAUUGGGACUGAGACACGGCCCAGACUCCUACGGGAGGCAGCAGUGGGGAAUAUUGCGCAAUGGGGGAACCCUGACGCAGCAACGCCGCGUGAAGGAAGAAGGUCUUCGGAUUGUAAACUUCUUUGAUGAGGGACGAAUAAAGUGACGGUACCUACAAAAACAAGCCACGGCUAACUACGUGCCAGCAGCCGCGGUAAUACCCACG